AGUUUGAUCCUGGCUCAGGACGAACGCUGGCGGCGUGCUUAACACAUGCAAGUCGAACGGUGAACCGCUUUCGGGCGGGGAUCAGUGGCGAACGGGUGAGUAACACGUGGGUAACCUGCCCUCCACUCUGGGAUAACUCCGGGAAACCGGGGCUAAUACCGGAUACGACCUUCAGGCGGCAUCGCCUCGGGUGGAAAGUUUUUCGGUGGAGGAUGGACCCGCGGCCUAUCAGCUUGUUGGUGGGGUAAUGGCCUACCAAGGCUUUGACGGGUAGCCGGCCUGAGAGGGCGACCGGCCACACUGGGACUGAGACACGGCCCAGACUCCUACGGGAGGCAGCAGUGGGGAAUAUUGCACAAUGGGCGAAAGCCUGAUGCAGCGACGCCGCGUGAGGGAUGACGGCCUUCGGGUUGUAAACCUCUUUCAGCAGGGACGAAGCGCAAGUGACUGUACCUGCAGAAGAAGCACCGGCUAACUACGUGCCAGCAGCCGCGGUAAUACGUAGGGUGCGAGCGUUGUCCGGAAUUAUUGGGCGUAAAGAGCUUGUAGGUGGCUCGUUGCGUCGGGAGUGAAAACCCGCGGCUUAACCGCGGGCCUGCUUCCGAUACGGGCGGGCUAGAGUUCGGCAGGGGAGACUGGAAUUCCUGGUGUAGCGGUGGAAUGCGCAGAUAUCAGGAGGAACACCGGUGGCGAAGGCGGGUCUCUGGGCCGAUACUGACACUGAGAAGCGAAAGCGUGGGGAGCGAACAGGAUUAGAUACCCUGGUAGUCCACGCCGUAAACGUUGGGAACUAGGUGUGGGGUCCAUUCCACGGGCUCUGUGCCGCAGCUAACGCAUUAAGUUCCCCGCCUGGGGAGUACGGCCGCAAGGCUAAAACUCAAAGGAAUUGACGG
rnacentral:rRNA from 1 species